GGAUCCAGACCUUGAUUCUGGCUCAGGAUGAACGCUAGCUACAGGCUUAACACAUGCAAGUCGAGGGGCAGCGGUAUCGAAAGCUUGCUUUCGGUAGCCGGCGACCGGCGCACGGGUGAGUAACGCGUAUCGAACCUGCCUCAUACUCGGGAAUAGCCUUGCGAAAGUAAGAUUAAUGCCCGGUGUUUUCAGAGUCCCGCAUGGGGCUUUGAACAAAGAUUUAUCGGUAUGAGAUGGCGAUGCGUCCCAUUAGCUUGUUGGCGGGGUAACGGCCCACCAAGGCAUCGAUGGGUAGGGGUUCUGAGAGGAAGGUCCCCCACAUUGGAACUGAGACACGGUCCAAACUCCUACGGGAGGCAGCAGUGAGGAAUAUUGGUCAAUGGGCGGAAGCCUGAACCAGCCAAGUAGCGUGCAGGAAGACGGCCCUCCGGGUUGUAAACUGCUUUUAGUUGGGAAUAAAACGGGGCUCGUGAGCCCCCUUGCAUGUACCAUCAGAAAAAGGACCGGCUAAUUCCGUGCCAGCAGCCGCGGUAAUACGGAAGGUCCGGGCGUUAUCCGGAUUUAUUGGGUUUAAAGGGAGCGCAGGCGGACCUUUAAGUCAGCUGUGAAAUACGGCGGCUCAACCGUCGAACUGCAGUUGAUACUGGAGGUCUUGAGUGCACACAGGGAUGCUGGAAUUCAUGGUGUAGCGGUGAAAUGCUCAGAUAUCAUGAAGAACUCCGAUCGCGAAGGCAGGCAUCCGGGGUGCAACUGACGCUGAGGCUCGAAAGUGCGGGUAUCAAACAGGAUUAGAUACCCUGGUAGUCCGCACAGUAAACGAUGAAUACUCGCGGUUUGCGAUACAUUGUAAGCCGCCAAGCGAAAGCGUUAAGUAUUCCACCUGGGGAGUACGCCGGCAACGGUGCAACUCAAAUGAAUUGACGG
rnacentral:rRNA from 1 species